AGCGAACGCUGGCGGCAGGCUUAACACAUGCAAGUCGAGCGGGCAUCCUUGUGGUGUCAGCGGCAGACGGGUGAGUAACGCGUGGGAACGUGCCCUUCGGUUCGGAAUAACUCAGGGAAACUUGAGCUAAUACCGGAUACGUGCGAGAGCAGAAAGGUUUAUCUGCCGAAGGAUCGGCCCGCGUCUGAUUAGCUAGUUGGUGAGGUUAUGGCUCACCAAGGCGACGAUCAGUAGCUGGUCUGAGAGGAUGAUCAGCCACACUGGGACUGAGACACGGCCCAGACUCCUACGGGAGGCAGCAGUGGGGAAUAUUGGACAAUGGGGGCAACCCUGAUCCAGCCAUGCCGCGUGAGUGAUGACGGCCUUAGGGUUGUAAAGCUCUUUUCUCCGGGACGAUAAUGACGGUACCGGAGGAAUAAGCCCCGGCUAACCUCGUG
rnacentral:rRNA from 1 species